rnacentral:lncRNA from 1 species
AGUUCAAAGGGGGACACAAGUCGAAGUGAGUGCCAUUUAGUAACGAGUUUGGCAUGAAAAUCUGGCAACACUUUCUUCUUAGAUAAAGCUGAGAGAGUUUUGAUUUUGAAUAAGAUUAAAUUGUUAAGAAGAAUGCAAAAAUGUGAAAAAAGAACAUGAUAAGAUACAUUUGUCUUUGCUUAGUGUUGCGGCCAAUCCCCUUGUCGCCUGAUCGCCGG